GACGAACGCUGGCGGCGUGCCUAACACAUGCAAGUCGAACGGGGUAAUGACUUCGGUUAUUACUUAGUGGCGAACGGGUGAGUAACGCGUGAGAAACCUGCCUUUCAGUGGGGGACAACAGUUGGAAACGACUGCUAAUACCGCAUAAUGUAUCGAUGGGGCAUCCUGUUGAUACCAAAGCUUUAUGUGCUGAAAGAUGGUCUCGCGUCUGAUUAGCUAGUUGGUGAGGUAACGGCUCACCAAGGCGACGAUCAGUAGCCGGUCUGAGAGGAUGAACGGCCACAUUGGGACUGAGAUACGGCCCAG
rnacentral:rRNA from 1 species